GAGGCUUUGGCUUAAAUUUAAAGUAUCUGAUUUGCAAUCACAAUAUGUGUUAUUAUACAGGCCUUC
rnacentral:tRNA from 1 species